AAUCUGUCUAACAUUUACUCAGGAUAUCAACUGUGCUGAGAGCUAAAAGAAGGGAGGCUUUGCCGAAAGAUCGUUGUGUGCUUGCGGACAUAAGACAUAACAGAUCUUAUCUUUGUGCAGCGAUGAGCACAAAACAUCUGGAUCCCAGCGGGGCCCAAACAUCUGCUAGGAGCCGGCUGGGAGGUGGACGAGGAAGAGGAGCAGGAAGGAUGGGGUGCGCAUCAGGGACGUGAUCCAGACGGGUCUACACAUCCAUAUUUCAUCAUCUAACUGUCCUCACCUCUCCUGUUUUAAUGUAACCUUUCUGUGAUGUUUUUGUUUUUUUCAAUUGUGUCUUGAUGUAAAGUGUUUUUCAAAAACUAAAA
ensembl:lncRNA